UAAUGAAGGCGGCAUGGUUGUGUGCACGGAAAUUGAGUUUUUCAGGUCAACAUGUCUGCUCUCUCUGAUUGCGCGAUUUGAUUUGAGGGCCUGGUUGCGACCUACAUUC